ensembl:lincRNA Gm12069 predicted gene 12069
UUGCAAGAAGGAGUGAAGGCUAUUGACAGACUCCCCAGAGCAGAAGCCACGUGAAGAGGAAGUUCACUGACUUGGAGACUCUUGCGCCACCUGCUGGUAGCUGGGAGGAGAGAAGCCCAACCUGCCAGGUCUCUUGGGCGACCCGACCUGAGAAGAACCACACCAGGGAGAUCGAGCAUCCACCUGAUCAUGGAUAGGAAAAUGUAGAGAAUCCAGAGAGCUUGCUGUGAAGCAAUGCCAACCACACAGCAAUUACAGUUUUCCAGUUGCCCCUUAGAGCUUGGCCAUGAAGUGGUGGACAUAGUUUCAGUGAAUUCAAACUGGAUUCUAGAACAUAUUUUGAAUAUAGAGUAAAUGACACUUCUUUUCUAGCCAUGGAAGAAUGGCCUUCUUACCACAGGAUGUUGGACUAGCACAUCUGUUUCACUGGGCUGAACUGUAUCUGUGUCUUUUCUACAGUUCUGAUCUCAGCCUUGCCUGAUGGCUGGAGAAAGUUUACUUCCUUUUACUUUUCUUCUUGCGUUGAAGAUUAUUGUUUUCACCCUCUAAAAGGAAUGAAUGCAAUGACAUCAACUUGUCCUGCAUUAGCACCACCACACAGUUGGAGAGAAAUCUGCUCACUGGGCACUCAGCCAGGGACUGUUGGUAUGACUGUCUCUGACCCAGUGCUCUAGGAGGCACAAUCACCAUAGAUUAAUCAGGGCACUUUUUAUCAGUGUACCUUCAUCUGCCAAGUAACUAUAAACUCUUCAAGACUAAGGCUCUACUUCAUCUCAACAACAAGAGUAAAAGAC